UACGAAGGGGGCUAGCGUUGCUCGGAAUCACUGGGCGUAAAGGGUGCGUAGGCGGGUCUUUAAGUCAGGGGUGAAAUCCUGGAGCUCAACUCCAGAACUGCCUUUGAUACUGAAGAUCUUGAGUUCGGGAGGGGUGAGUGGAACUGCGAGUGUAGAGGUGAAAUUCGUAGAUAUUCGCAAGAACACCAGUGGCGAAGGCGGCAUCCUGGACCAACACUGACGCUGAGUGAGCGAAAGCCAGGGGAGCAAACGGG
rnacentral:rRNA from 1 species